GCAAUCUAAAUUAAGCUUAGUCAGAACAGUUGUUCUAAUGACUUCUCCGUCAAGUUCCAUAUUUCUUUUGGUUUGUUGAACAACAUGGCCGCCGGGAUGUGUCCGAUAGUAGGUACAGUGUUUUCGGAACACAUCCCAUCUGAGGUAGCUUGAUCAUUUCUGUAUGUCACUUAUAUCGCUGACUAAGUGAAAGGAUGUGUGAUCAGCCAGAAUGCCAUUCGGAGAAGACAUGCGACCCCUGUUCAAUCGAAGGAAAGAAAGAACAAGCGAAACACUUUUGUGUACAUUGCUUAGAAUAUUUUUGUAUCACCUGCGCACAAUAUCACAGGAAGUACAAACCGUCACGUGCGCAUACAAUUCUAAACGAUCUUCCAGAAGAUACACGUAUUUAUGAAAGAGUACUGAAGUUUUCGCAUUGUCCAUCUCAUCCGGAAAUCGAGAUAGAUCGAUUCUGCAAGCAUCAUGAUGAAAUGUUUUGUCGCUUUUGUAGUGAUAUCCACGCUUCAUGUGAAAAUGUUGUUAACAUUGAAGAGUGUCAAAAAGGGAAUAUUGACACCAUACCUGACAAGCUGACCGCACUGAAGUCGAUGUAUUCGACACGGAAAAAAGAGCUUGAAAGGCAACUGGAAGAACUUCAGGUUAAUAGUUUAGAAGUAAAAAACAAUAUAAGGGAAUAUGUAAAACAAAUAAGAGACGUGGCAGACAAAGUAGAACGAUCUUUAAAUGAAAGCCACCAAUCACUUAUUUCCACAGCGUAUGCUGUCAUUAAAAGGGUAUUGAAAAGGUCGAAGAAAAAGAGGCGAAACUUAAUGAAUGCAAAAUUUUCCAUGAUAUAAUGCCAAAGAUUUGUUCAACGAAAGAUCAAUAUGUUUUGGUAUGCAAAUUAUACCAACUGAUGAAUGAUUCGGUGAUACAAGAAAGUGGAAAAGAUGGGUUCUCCGUAUUUGUCAGAUUGAUUUCACCAUUGAAUACUAAAGAGCUCGUUGCAGAACUUUUGAAAUGUGAAGUGAAACUGUUGAGCCAUGAAGAGUUGACACAAGAAAAGUUUAGCGAUGAAGACACUAGUUCUGCUGGUUAUAAUGCUCCAUUGACUGCAGAGGACAAGAAGAAAAAAUAGGAUUACAACGAUGUACUUGAACUCGACAUUGCCGCAUUUAAACCGGUAGAAGAACAGUCAGAUCAUUCGCAAAUCGACGAAGCUGUGAAAGAUAUAGACAACCAGUUAGAUGUUGACGAUACUUAUCCAUUUCUAACAAUGAUCAAGAAUAAAAUAUUUGAUAUUCGUAAAACGGAUAUUGCUAGAAAGGGACUUUGUAACAUCGUGACACUAGAUGUUUUAUCCGAUGGACGAAUAAUUUUAACUGAUGAUCGCCAAAAUGUUCUUCAACUUUUUACAACUGAAUUUGUGCUCAUUUCAUGCAUGGUCCUACCUCACCACAAACCUGUAGAUAUGUGUGUUGUUGAAGAUAAAGAAGACAAAACAUUCACGGUUGCCCUUUGCUUCGAAGGUCAAAAUUAUAUACGUUUAAUUGAACAUGUCUUGGACUUUAACAUAAAAAAGAGCAUUCAAUGCAAAGGUGCUAUAUUAAGUCUCACUUUGUUUUCUCAGGAUAUAUUAGUGCUUACAUAUGAGAAAAAUACUAAAUAUAAGCACCAUCAAAUACAAGUCAUUCAGCCAACAUCACGACGUGUUCGUUUCAUUCUCGAUGUACCUAGACUCCUGGUCUCCAAAGAGGGUCAAGACAUAUAUAUGCACGAUCUGAUAAUAAUUCGAGCAAGCAAUAUUGCCAGGCGAAUCAUUUUAGCAGCAGACGAUGAAGUAUAUGUUUUUACUUUACCUGAAGGAAAUUUAGAAGAACAAUUGUUCACAAAACCAGUACAAUGUGAUUGGUUUUACUACCGUGCGGACAAUAGUUUUGUGUCUUUCAUUACAGAUGUAAAGAUGGACGUACAAGGAAAUAUUUAUAUUUGCGACCAUGACAGCGGUGUACAUCAAGUUUCCGCAAAAUCACGCAGAGACAGUCGCAUUCUCUUUCCAAAGGCCGAAAGAAUAUCGUCUAUUGUUAUCGACAUGCCUCGAAGACGCAUCUUAGUAUGCCACGCAAACACAUCGUUCACGACAAUGUAUCGUAUUUGAUAGUGAAGACCAAAAUGAUUAUUCGAACAGUAGUUCAGUGUGAUAAUGAUUCAAUUUCAGAAUGGGCGAAAGUAUGUGUAAGUAAUAAUAUUCUUAUACAUUUCGUUUGUUUUUGCCAUAUAUAAGUGUUGUUAAGUAUUUCGAUGUACGUGUGAAUCUGGGAUCAAUGAAUGAUUGGAUUGUUUUCGGCUCAUACAGUUUUCUUUUCGUAGCUGAUCGUGCAGUAUAAUAAAUAUAAUAUUUAUAUGAUACUUUUUUUAAACGCCUAGUGAAAAUGCAAGAAGCCCUACAUAUCAUUCGUUAAUCAUGUUUAACUGUGAAAUCUACUAUAACACGUAUUUAUAUGCAAUAUAUUUGUCUAAAGGUU